AUUGAACGCUGGCGGCAGGCCUAACACAUGCAAGUCGAGCGGAGCGGCGGACGGGCGGGUAAUUCCUAGGAAUCUGCCUGGUAGUGGGGGAUAACGUCCGGAAGCGGACGCUAAUACCGCAUCCUAUCAGAUGAGCCGAGGUCGGAUUAGCUUGUUGGUGGGGUAAAGGCAUACCUAGGCGACGAUCCGUAACUGGUCUGAGAGGAUGAUCAGUCACACUGGAACUGAGACACGGUCCAGACUCCUACGGGAGGCAGCAGUGGGGAAUAUUGGACAAUGGGCGAAAGCCUGAUCCAGCCAUGCCGCGUGUGUGAAGAAGGCCUUCGGGUUGUAAAGCACUUUAAGUUGGGAGGCGUUACCAACAGAAUAAGCACCGGCUAACUUCGUGCCAGCCGCCGCGGUAAUAC
rnacentral:rRNA from 1 species